GUUAUUGUGGCACAAUGGAUCAGUAUGUCUGGCUAUUAUUAACCAGAAAGCUGGGGGUUCAAGCCCCCCUGGAGACG